rnacentral:lncRNA from 1 species
GUUGGAAAUAAUUUAUCUAAUCCUGUGAGUAAAUGUUGAAACAAAAAGUUUUCUCCACUGGCAAUUUUCUCCAGGGACUUCUUCCACAAGCAAUUCUCCCUAGGACAGGUUUGCUAGUAACACUUAUUGCACUUUCUUCGUUUUAAAAUGUCUUAUUUAAUUACAACAUUGAUAAUUCUAAUACCCAAUUAUUACUCAAUGCUAUUAUUUGAUUUUAAUCUAUUAAAACUACAUGGU